CCCUAGCUGGUGCAAUUGGUUAGCACGUCGCCUUAUUUACCACUGUUGCACUUAUGAUCACCUUUCUGCUGUCAUACACGAAUUGGCCGGCGAAUGUUGCUGGCUCAAAUCCAGCACUGGGGG